rnacentral:lncRNA from 1 species
AAUCCCGCGCGGCUCAGAGAUGGGUUUCUGGACUCGCGAAGCAGCUGCAGCAAGGCAUCACUCACUGUAUAAGUAUUUCCAUUUCUGAGAGCAAAAGGAAGAACUUAAGCGGGCGGCACUUGGAGUGUAAAUUGCUUUGUAGUAUUUAAAGGCAGAAUGGAUCCUGGGCAGCCGAGCUGAUCAUGAGGUUCCUGAGGCCUCCUAGCCAUGCUGCCUGUGCAGCCUAUGGAACUAAUCACUGUUAUAUUUUUAACCUUAUUCCUGGAAGCACUACGGAUGUCAGAUCAAUUUAGAAAGCCAAAGAGUACCUCUGGGAAUGAAAUGGCAGUAAUAUAAAGAAUAUUUGGCCAAACUGUCACUGUAUGCCAAUGAUACCAAAAAAUCCCAGUAACCUGGCAGCAACAAACCAGCAGGACUUCCUGUGAAAUCAUGACCGCCAUGUGCUCUUUCAGCCUCCAUCAAUUCCUACCUCUAAGCACUUGAGAGCCAAAGCAGACCACAGGAAACCACAGACUCAAACUAAACAUCAGCUUUUCCUGGCUCUCAAGUCUGCUGGUCCCUGAACUAAAACACACAUUAUCAACUCUACUGGUU